rnacentral:lncRNA from 1 species
GUUCAGGCCACAUGGAGAGGCCAAGAGUGAGAGUUCUAGCUGACAUCAGCCACCAGACAUCACUGGCCACUCCAGAAAGGACCACUCACAUAUGGUCUACAUUAUCGAUGGGGCUGUGAACGAUGCUGCUUGGAGCCGUGCAACAAGCCACCUGUCAACACCCUGCAGGAGGGGAGCUGCAUGAGGCAUGACAAAGAAGACAAAGUAAGCUCUGGACACCUAGACAAAGACCACAGAAACAACAGAGGUGUUGUGGCAACAUGAGAAGAGCACUGGCCUGAGAGAUCCUAUCUCCCGGGCUGGCCCCGUGGCCGAGUGGUUAAGUUCGCGCGCUCCGCUGCAGACGGCCCAGUGUUUCGUCGGUUCGAAUCCUGGGCGCGGACAUGGCACUGCUCGUCAGACCACGCUGAGGCAGCGUCCCACAUGCCACAACUAGAGGAACCCACAACGAAGAAUACACAACUAUGUACCGGGGGGCUUUGGGGAGAAAAAGGAAAAAAUAAAAUCUUUAAAAAAAAAAAAAAAAAAAGAUCCUAUCUCCAAAUACAGUCACAUUCUGAGAUACUG